rnacentral:rRNA from 1 species
CCUACGGGGGGCAGCAGUGGGGAAUAUUGGACAAUGGGCGAAAGCCUGAUCCAGCCAUGCCGCGUGUGUGAAGAAGGCCUUCGGGUUGUAAAGCACUUUCAGUGGGGAAGAAAGCCUUGGGGCUAAUACCCUCGAGGAAGGACAUCACCCACAGAAGCAGCACCGGCUAACUCCGUGCCAGCAGCCGCGGUAAUACGGAGGGUGCGAGCGUUAAUCGGAAUUACUGGGCGUAAAGCGCGCGUAGGCGGUCUGAUAAGCCGGUUGUGAAAGCCCCGGGCUCAACCUGGGAACGGCAUCCGGAACUGUCAGGCUAGAGUGCAGGAGAGGAAGGUAGAAUUCCCGGUGUAGCGGUGAAAGGCGUAGAGAUCGGGAGGAAUACCAGUGGCGAAGGCGGCCUUCUGGACUGACACUGACGCUGAGGUGCGAAAGCGUGGGUAGCAAACAGGAUUAGAUACCCCAGUAGUC